rnacentral:tRNA from 1 species
GAGGAUUUUUUGGUUGUCGCUGCUAACGAUGAUUUGGGUUUUGGCUCGAUUCUCU